CUACUACCUCAUUUUAUAUGUCAAAUAACUAAUUGGCGAGAUGUUAGGUUCGACAAUAUACACAUUUUUCAUUUGGCGAUAACUAGGAAAAAAUUGCACCUGGAUCUAAUUUUUGCUUAAAACUAAGAUUAGCUGUAGCGUUAACUGCUAGCUGUCUCGUUUGAUAUAGCAUGUUUGCAUUAGCUGUGUAAUUUGCUCUCUUUCUGUGGCAGCUGUGCAGUUAACUGCCGUUUGGCUUGGUAUGGUUUGUAUCUCUUUAAAGAUACGGUGCGUAGUUGCUGUCAUUUUAAGUAAUGACAACAAAACUGUCGUCGCACAGCCCCGCCCACUCCUCUUCCACGCUGUUGCUAGUAGCUUAGCACAGGAUUAAAAACACACGAUGGACUCUUCAGAAGAGAUUCAGGAGAGAUGCUGUAUCCUCCGCGGACUGAAAAGCAGCUGUGAAGGUGAUGGUGAUCAGUCCUGACAGUGAGGGAUGUUUGAGAGAGAUAGGCCUCCUAUCCAAGCUUGACAGUGUGAUUGGAUCCAGUGAGAAUCCCAAUGAAGCAAUGAGUAUCACAGCGGCAGCUCCCCUCCCCCAGGUGCCCCCAACACAGCCAAGAGGCCAGCCCCAGCCCUGCCAGUUCAGACCAGAUGGAAAUUGAGGCGGGAUGGGAUCUGGGAAGCAAAAACACAAAAAAGGCAAGUGAACUUUAAACCGUUUUAGCUGCUGUGAAGGUGACUGCGGCAAAACCAGCUGUAAAAUGUGAUCUGAUUAUAAGUGAUGGUGGCAGAUAAUUGUAGAGGCUGUCUGACUGGGGCGCAGUAUGCUGCUCAAAUCAGAUGUGCUGUGUUUGAAUUCAUAAAAACUCAACCCGUGUUUGAAACUAGUUUGGAUACAUUAAGUGAUAAAGAUCAUAAACAGAAAAUUGCAGCAAUAAAUGACACAUUUUUUAUCAAGUUUGU